rnacentral:rRNA from 1 species
UACAGAGGUCUCAAGCGUUGUUCGGAUUCAUUGGGCGUAAAGGGUGCGUAGGCGGCGCGGUAAGUCGGGUGUGAAAUCUCGGAGCUUAACUCCGAAACUGCAUUCGAUACUGCCGUGCUUGAGGACUGGAGAGGAGACUGGAAUUUACGGUGUAGCGGUGAAAUGCGUAGAUAUCGAGAAGAACGCUCGCAGCGAAGGCGAAGCUCUGGGCAACAUCUGACGCUGAUGCACGAAGGCUAGGGGAGCGAACGGG